rnacentral:rRNA from 1 species
AUGGCACGCGGUGUCGUCCUCCUGGCACUCAUCUGCUGUUGGUUAGCAUGCUCGGCGGCGGCCCAAGUUGUUCCGGACGGACGCCGUGAGCCAAGGACUCCGCCGUCGCCACUGCCCGGGAACCAGAACCCGGUGGAGGCUCCGGCCGAGAUUGCGUCUCCACCACCGCCCUUGAAGACAACGGCGCUUGCGCCGCACCGCAAGACCCUGCAGCAGGCUGUUUCGAGCGUUCCUCAUCUAUGA